GCCCGGGUGGUGAAAUUGGCAGACACGCUGGAUUUAGGUUCCUGUGCCGCAAGGCGUGCGGGUUCAAAUCCCGCCCCGGGCACCA
rnacentral:tRNA from 1 species